rnacentral:rRNA from 1 species
UAGGGAAUCUUCGGCAAUGGACGAAAGUCUGACCGAGCAACGCCGCGUGAGUGAAGAAGGUUUUCGGAUCGUAAAACUCUGUUGUUAGAGAAGAACAAGGACGUUAGUAACUGAACGUCCCCUGACGGUAUCUAACCAGAAAGCCACGGCUAACUACGUGCCAGCAGCCGCGGUAAUACGUAGGUGGCAAGCGUUGUCCGGAUUUAUUGGGCGUAAAGCGAGCGCAGGCGGUUUCUUAAGUCUGAUGUGAAAGCCCCCGGCUCAACCGGGGAGGGUCAUUGGAACCUGGGAGACUUGAGUGCAGAAGAGGAGAGUAGAAUUCCAUGUGUAGCGGUAAAAUGCGUAGAUAUAUGGAGGAACACCAGUGGCGAAGGCGGCUCUCUGGUCUGUAACUGACGCUGAGGCUCGAAAGCGUGGGGAGCAAACAGG